AGUGCUGCUGAGGCCAGUAGGGCCAGCACCAUGGCCAGCAGGAGUGCAGGGGGCUGGUUGUCAUUGGCAGGAGCAGAUAUAGCCUGGGGAAGCAGGGUGGGCAGCUCCUGGGCAGGGAAGGGGCUGGCCAGAGAUCAAAGGGUGAGGAUGUGUUUCCAAGGUGGCUUCCAAGUGCUGGCAGCAGGUUUUGGGUUCUAAAAAUGGCUACCAAGUGCUGGCAGCUAGGGCAAGAGUCUGGAGCUCCCCCCAGUGGCCAUAAUCACACACGGCUGGGCUGAAGGGACUUGGCACUAGAUUUACUGCCAAGUCUCUGCACGUGUAGACACCUGCCAAAAAUGCUUACGGUGCUUUAGUUUAAUGCACAUUACAUUUAGUCAUGAUUAAUUGUAUGUGUAGACACUCCCAUAGAGUAGUAGAGUUGACCCUAUGUAUAAAGCAGGCAUUCUAUAUUUCAAAUGCUACUACAAUAAUUAGCAUGGGGUAAGUGAACCACUCUUUCUGAGUAGAAGAUCACAAUAUGCCUGGAGUAAAGAAUCACUGCUGUGCAGAAAAAUGUGUGGAAGACUUACAAAACAAGCCUUGAGAAGAAACACACAGGUAAAGUAAUAUUGCCUCUUGAAUUACUUGGUCAGAUUUAUAUUGGCACAGUCUGUAGUACUGUAGUCUAAUUAAUAGGUCAUUGGAACAUGAGUCCUGGGAUGUAUAUUCUUGCUUUAGCUCUCCUACCUGAAGUUGGGCAGCAGUCUGCCUUUAUUUAUGAGUCCAUCAUUUUUUUUCUCUGCUAUGUUUAAGUUGUUGAGUUUUGAGUGGUAGGCAGUUUUGAGAGAAACUGCCUACUGCUGCGCACUUGAAUAGAGCCUAGCACCAUGCUUUUGAUUGGAGCAAAAUAAUGUACCUCAUUCUUUGAAAUACCUCAGUGUCAUGAAGCAUGUCAAUUGUUCAUAAAUUUGACUUAGAGUUAGAAACAGGACCUUACCAAAGACAGGUAACUUGACUAUAGAUGCACUAUUUUCAUCAUCUUAUCAGGCAUUAUCAGGACUUUCCAUUGACAAACCUGUAGGAGAGGGAAUGCCACUCAGAAAAUGCUGAAAUUUAAAUUUAUGAAGACAUUCCAUUGGCUAGUAUGGACUGAUGUAGCUCCUUUGAACUCGGUGGAGUUGCACUUAUUUAUACCAGCUGAUCAUCUGGGUAUGGAAUUCCUGUGGUAUAUUUCCUUUUGACUGCCAAGUUUUAUGACUUGCCAGAAAGGCUGGGUUUUGGAACCAGAUUACAUGUAUUGCUGAUGUCCUGAAAUCAUUGAGAAAACCUAUGAAUCUUUGGGUAUCUGUUCUGUUCUGCUAUUCACACUCCCCUUCUUAUUAUGGUGGAGUAACCAUCUGUGCGAUUCCUUGGCUGGAUGUUUACCUUGCUUGGUUCAGCUCUCUCCUUCUAUACCUUUUCGGGCAGAUAGUUUAACCUGCUGACUUAACUUUUAUAGUGCUGAAUGCUCAUGCUCUUUCUUGUCACAACUUGAACUUAAAAUUUCUUGUGAAUGGGAGAAAGGUCUUUGAUCUCUUGGCACCGACACCUGGCAAGAUCAAGUGCUGUCUCCUGGGGCUCUGCCUGCCCUGCACCCCACCUGGCACCAACCCAAUGUCACACUCCCAAUCAGGUAAGUAAAAGCUCAUGGCCCUACUGCAAUACCGUCUUCAACAAUGUCCAAAAGAAAAAUACCCUGUCAACUUCUUGGGGCUACACAAUCCUUUAAUUCUUAUCACUUGCCCAGUGUCCAUGAAUCCCCUUUUAGAGAGGGGUUGGGGGAUGAACCAUGCAAUAAUUGCUCACUAGUUCCCUUUUACUCAUGCUUCUGACACCUUCUUAUUUUCUUUCCACAGGAACCUUGCUGUCCCGGACCCGCUCAUUGCGACGAGACUUUCACACAUGUUCCUCCGGGCCUGCCUGCCUGCCUGAGCUGCACAUGGGUCCAGUGCUUCUCUCCACGGCUGCAGUGCCCCCCAGGAUUGCCAGGGCUGGGUGCCUACAGGCCCCCCUGCAGCUCAGGGACCAUUUGGCCUGCCAGCAGCUCACCUUUCAUCUCCCACCACUGGAGAAACAGGUCUCAUUUACAUCCGAGAUGGAACCAGAUGACCAUUCAUUUACAUGAGAGAUGGAAAACAGAAAGCCUGAAGCAGAGACUGCAGUGAAUUAUGGGACCAGAGAAGCAGGAGAGCGCUGCAUGAUGGGGAAUCUGUGCUUCCAAUGUUAAUCAACCCAUGUUCACACACACCCAGCUCAGCAUUUAUCAGUCCAGUUCUAAUCUGGAUUUGCUAAGGAUUCCCCCCCCCGACACACACACACAGCUCUAAGUUUAAUAGGCAUCUCGGGCCGUACAUUCCCUGGUCCCACUAUGGGAGGCCUAUUUAAACUUGAUUGACUAAAACUCGGUUGCCGGGUUAGGGAAUGCUGAGGCAAGAGACCGAGUCAGAGGGGGUAUGGGCAACAUUUGAACAACGGUUAAGGGUUCAUCACAGCAUCCAGCCUGCUGUAGCCCUAAUCCCAGGUGUUGUCAUAUCUUUCCUGAGAUGACUGGUGGAAGUCCUCUCCACAAAAGGUUAUGAGCACCCCAAUAAUUGCUUUAAGUCUGUUAAAAGACUAUAGUAAGAUCUGGAAAAAGUCAUGCUAAGCUGAGGCUUGUGCACAACAAGUAAAAAUCCAAAAUCCUGAUGCUGCAAGCUAUCUAUUGUUCCUGAAGAAACCAUGAGAUAUCCCAUCAGGAUAUCUGCCAUCCAUAGGAAUUUCAAGCUGGCUCCCAAGUAUUUGGGUUACUCCCUAAUCUUAAGUGUUUCCUGAUUAUCAGUGAGUUUCCUGAGAUGGUCCAAACCAGAUAACCCCUUGUCAAUAGAAAAGACAAUGAUUUACACUACUGAGGGUGCUUUGAAGCAGUUGAACUGAGGGUAUAAAAAUCUGUAAGUGUGUGUGCUGCAAAAGAAGAGAGAAAAAAAAGAAGCAGCAGGAGGAAAGGAGAGGAAAAGGAAAGAAGAAGAAAACUCCUGUGCUGACACCAUCCCCUGUCAUUCUUGGGACGCUGGAAGAACAGAUAGUCUCUCUCUUCAAGGAUUGUGCUACAAACUGUGCCUGUCAGCUUUGCAGCCUGAGUACCGUGGACUAGGUGAGACCCCAGCGUUCUCUCUCUUCUUUCUAGGCAUAAACUUCUGAACCUGAACUGUAUCAGUUAAGCUUGAGCUAAGUUUCCCCCAAAUACUUAGUGAAACCAGGGUAGUAUUGUCAUUGUUGGUGUUUGUUUUUCUUUUGCAUGUCUAUUACUACUAGUUCCAUUAUAUAUUUCAUAUGCUUAGCAAUAAAUAACUUUUAUAGUCAAACUGGUAGUAAUUGGGUAUAUUUUUCCUUCUCUGCUUCUCUUUCCUCCCGUGCUCUGCAGCAACGCUUCUUUUACCUAUGCUAAAGAUCCCUGUGAAGCCCAAAUUAUUGUGGGGUCUGCUCAUUAAGAGGCCAAAGAUUGGGACGUGCUGAGUUUGAAACACAUAAGGGGAUCAGCUUGUACAGGCUGAUUGACCCAGUUUGACUCAGACGCGCCCUUAUGAACUGAAUGCUGGCCCAUGAGGGUGUCAGCUGGACACCCAGCUGGAUUCAGAAGGAUUCUGUUUACCUGUGUGCUUGUGUCUGACUGCAUUUUAUUGUUGCUCUUAUAAACUGAUUCUUGGCAUAUGAGGGUGUCAGCCUGUCCAUGCUGAUCAGCCCGGCCAGGUCAGGCGUGUCACGUUAAUUUGUGUGUGUUUGUGUGUAUGACUGAUUUGGUGACUGGAGGAACCCAGUCCCAUUGAGAUUGAAUCCGGCAAGAUAGCUCCACUGGGGGUGAGGGCUUGCAGAAGGGAGAAAUACAGCUCCGUAUAGUAACACAAGCAGCACAUUGACAGGAUCACCAAGACCCUAGAAACUAUCCCUAAUAAAUGAGCACACCCCAAAGUAAUGGGCAAAUUUGGUAACAUUGGGGGGCUGCAGC